UCAAUUCUGUAGUGGAGCAAUCAGUAACCAAAUAAACAAACAAAUCACAAGACAAGUUUGCAAGACAAAUUAUUCACAUUGGCUAUGGCUUACAUAGACAAUAAGCAAAAAUUUAUCCUACUGUUAAUUUUUUCAGCACUUUUACUAUCUUCUCCUGCAGUUCUUGCUAAACGUCGCCCAAUCUCUGUAAGUUUUUUUUUUUUUUUUUUUGGGUAUUGGGUUUUGUAAAUCUUUUUCUUGUUAUUGAUGUUGCUUUAUCAUUAUUUUAAUAUUUUUUGGCUGUUCUUGAAUACAAAUACAGGAUGGAGAGAUCAGAGAGAAGAAACUCCAAUGUUAUGCAGAUAUUGAAAG
rnacentral:lncRNA from 1 species